UACGUAGGGGGCAAGCGUUGUCCGGAUUUAUUGGGCGUAAAGAGCGUGUAGGCGGCCAUACAGGUCCGUUGUGAAAACUGGAGGCUUAACCUCCAGACGUCGAUGGAAACCGUAUGGCUAGAGUCCGGAAGAGGAGAGUGGAAUUCCUGGUGUAGCGGUGAAAUGCGCAGAUAUCAGGAAGAACACCCGUGGCGAAGGCGGUCUCUCUGGGACGGUACUGACGCUGAGAGCGAAAGCG
rnacentral:rRNA from 1 species